rnacentral:lncRNA from 1 species
CACAAUUCUAUAUUCUUCAAUGGAAUUUUGCCUCAAUAAUGUCCACCAUCUGGUGUCAUCCAAAGGGCCAUAAUAUUUUUAAGUUUGUAGGUCUGAAAUCUCCAAACCUGCAUCAAAUUCAAGAAACCCUUCUAGACAACUUUUCAGAUGAAUCAUUGGCAAGUUUUGUAACCUCAAAUAGUCAUCAUAUAAGGAAGCCACUGUUCCUAAUCCUGUCUGAAAAUGUAGAUUCGUAAUUACAACUUCCAUUGAACAACUCACCUAGAUGUAGACAUAGGUGAGUUACAACAGACACUGUAAGCACGAUAUGUUUAAAUCUUAACUUACUAACUCUCCACUGACAACCUAGUCCACCUCCUCACUUUCCUGCUGGUUAGUGGUAUCCUUUUCUUUUUUUUUAAUGACACUCACUCAACAGAUUCAUUCAAUGAAUUUCAUGAAGCUCAUGCUACAUGCCAGAACUGUAUUGGAUGCUGGAGAUAAUAAAACGAUCAUGAUCAAUGUGAUUUCUACUGUCAAAUACAUUGCAUUCUAAAUGGAGAAAGACAAAAGAUUUUUUUAAGUACAACUUGGGGUGAUAAAUAAUCCAUCCAAAGCAAAAUAUUACUCAGCUUUGUUGAGAUAUAAUUUAUAUAGCAUAGAGUUCGCCUGUCUAAAUGGUCUCUAAAUGAAAAUCAGCAGUGUUUAUUAUAUUCACAAAUUUGUGUCCACAUGACCAAAAUCUAAUUUUAGAACCUUUUUUUACUUCCCAUUGACCCUUACUUACCCAUAGCAACCACUGAUCUUUCUAUCUCUGUAGAUGCUCCUAUGCUGCACAGUAGAAUCAUACAAUAUGCUAUCUAUUAGGAGUACAUUUUAUCACUUGGCAUAAUGUUUUCAAAGUUUGUCCAUGUUACAACAUUUAUUAACAAUUUCUAUCUUUUAUUGUCAAAUAAUUUUCUCUUUUAUGGAUAUAUAAAAUAUUUUAUUCAGUAUAUUUUAAGUUCUUGAACGAACCUAAGCACUUGAGAGGUUACAGAUAUACGUAUUAUCUAUACCUACAGCUAUAUUUAUCUAUCUACCUAUUUUUCUUUUAAUUGCUUAGUAAAGCUCCUUUCUUGAAUUUGAAAAUAUUCCAAUCUUUCCUAAAAUUUAAAAGAUUGAUAACACUCAUUACUGUUGGGAAUAUAGCUUGAUACACACAUUUUAG